UAUUGCGCAAUGGAGGAAACUCUGACGCAGUGACGCCGCGUGAGGGAUGAAGGUCUUCGGAUCGUAAACCUCUGUCAGCAGGGAAGAACGGUCACUGUGCUAAUCAGCAGUGAAUUGACGGUACCUGCAAAGGAAGCACCGGCUAACUCCGUGCCAGCAGCCGCGGUAAUACGGAGGGUGCGAGCGUUAAUCGGAAUGACUGGGCGUAAAGCGCUCGUAGGCGGUAUGUCAAGUCAAGGGUGAAAUCCCCGCGCUCAACGUGGGAACUGCCGUUGAAACUGGCAAACUGGAGUGUGUGAGAGGAUAGUGGAAUUCCAGGUGUAGGAGUGAAAUCCGUAGAUACCUGGAGGAACAUCAGUGGCGAAGGCGACUAUCUGGCACAUAACUGACGCUGAGGAGCGAAAGCGUGGGUAGCAAACAGG
rnacentral:rRNA from 1 species